UGAGAGAGCGGCGUACGGGUGCGGAACACGUGUGCAACCUGCCUUAUCUGGGGAUAGCCUUUCGAAAGGAAGAUUAAUACUCCAUAAUAUAUUGAACGGCAUCGUUAAUAUUGAAAGCUCCGGCGGAUAGAGAUGGGCACGCGCAAGAUUAGCUAGUUGGUGAGGUAACGGCUCACCAAGGCAAUGAUCUUUAGGGGGCCUGAGAGGGUAAUCCCCCACACUGGUACUGAGACACGGACCAGACUCCUACGGGAGGCAGCAGUGAGGAAUAUUGGUCAAUGGGUGCAAGCCUGAACCAGCCAUCCCGCGUGAAGGACGACUGCCCUAUGGGUUGUAAACUUCUUUUGUAUAGGGAUAAACCUUUCCACGUGUGGAAAGCUGAAGGUACUAUACGAAUAAGCACCGGCUAACUCCGUG
rnacentral:rRNA from 1 species